rnacentral:rRNA from 1 species
CCUACGGGGGGCAGCAGUGGGGAAUAUUGCACAAUGGGGGAAACCCUGAUGCAGCGACGCCGCGUGAGUGAAGAAGUAUUUCGGUAUGUAAAGCUCUAUCAGCAGGGAAGAAAAUGACGGUACCUGAGUAAGAAGCCCCGGCUAACUACGUGCCAGCAUCCGCGGUAAUACGUAGGGGGCAAGCGGUAUCCGGAUUUACUGGGUUUAAAGGGAGCGUAGACGGCAGCGCAAGGCUGAAGGGAAAUGCCGGGGCUUAACCCCGGAACUGCUUUGGAAACUGGGCAGCUAGAGUGCAGGAGAGGUAAGUGGAAUGCGUGGUGUAGCGGUGAAAUGCGUAGAUAUUAGGAGGAACACCAGUGGCGAAGGCGGCUUGCUGGACUGUAACUGACGUUGAGGCUCGAAAGCGUGGGGAGCGAACAGGAUUAGAUACCCGGGUAGUC